rnacentral:rRNA from 1 species
GACGAACGCUGGCGGCGUGCCUAAUACAUGCAAGUUGAGCGCUGAAGCUUGGUACUUGUACCUACUGGAUGAGCAGCGGACGGGUGAGUAACGCGUGGGGAAUCUGCCUUUGAGCGGGGGACAACAUUUGGAAACGAAUGCUAAUACCGCAUAAAAUCUUUAAACACAAGUUUUAAGUUUGAAAGAUGCAAUUGCAUCACUCAAAGAUGAUCCCGCGUUGUAUUAGCUAGUUGGUGAGGUAAAGGCUCACCAAGGCGAUGAUACAUAGCCGACCUGAGAGGGUGAUCGGCCACAUUGGGACUGGGACACGGCCCAAACUCCUACGGGAGGCAGCAGUAGGGAAUCUUCGGCAAUGGACGAAAGUCUGACCGAGCAACGCCGCGUGAGUGAAGAAGGUUUUCGGAUCGUAAAACUCUGUUGGUAGAGAAGAACGUUGGUGGGAGUGGAAAGCGCAUCAAGUGACGGUAACUACCCAGAAAGGGACGGCUAACUACGUG